CCAAUAGCGUAUAUUAAAGUUGUUGCAGUUAAAAAGCUCGUAGUUGAAGUUCGGGAUUAGUGCGCUGGUCAUGCCUUUGGUAUGUACUGGUGUUCCUGAUUUCUACCUUCUGAAGAACCGUUAUGUCAUUUAUUUGGUGUGGCGGGGAAUCAGGACUGUUACUUUGAAAAAAUUAGAGUGUUUAAAGCAGGCUCGCGCUUGAAUACAUUCGCAUGGAAUAAUGAAAUAAGACGUUUGACCCUAUUUUGUUGGUUUCUAGGAUCGACGUAAUGAUUAAUAGGGAUAGUUGGGGGAAUUAGUAUUCAAUUGUCAGAGGUGAAAUUCUUGGAUUUAUUGAAGACUAACUACUGCGAAAGCAUUUGCCAAGGAUGUUUUCAUUAAUCAAGAACGAAAGUUAGGGGAUCGAAGACGAUCAGAUACCGUCGUAGUCUUAACCAUAAACUAUGCCGACUAGGGAUCGGAUGAUGUUAUUUUUAAUGACUCAUUCGGCGCCUUACG
rnacentral:rRNA from 1 species